AGACGUCUCUGGCACAAACAGGAAGAACUGGCACGUCUGGAGACGUCCCCGGCACCUGCCGAGUCGUCCCCGCGAUAGCGGAGUCGACUCUCUCAGUAGCGGAGUCGACUCUCUCAGUGGCGGCAGAAAGGCAGUUUUCAAGAGAUAUGCGCGAGACGUCCCCACCAUACGCGGAGUCGUCCCCUAGAUAGCGGAGACGGCUCUCUCAGGGUUUUCCAGAGAAUGAUUUUUUCGGUGAUAAGGCAGCGGAGACGUCCCCUGAAAGAGCGGAGUCGACUCUCUCAGGA
rnacentral:lncRNA from 1 species